GCGCCCGUAGCUCAGAUGGACAGAGCGUCACGCUCCGGACGUGAAGGCCGUAGGUUCGAGUCCUAUCGGGCGCGCUA
rnacentral:tRNA from 2 species